UCUCUCAUCAUUGAUGUUUUUAUCUUUCCUUCUCCCUUCCUCUCUGAAAUCAAUAAAAUAUAUAUUUUUUUAAAGUGUUUCCUUUCAAGAAUAAAAAGUAUUUAUACUUAAUGUACUUUACAUUCCACUUUAACUUAUAACUAUUGGAGUGGUUAACCUAACAUGUAGCAUAUUUGAAUCUAAUAAAUAUGUCUUUCUGAUGGUGAUAACAUUCCCUCUACUUCUGUUCCUAGGAAAAAAUAUACUAGCUUCUUUUUAUCUUGAUUCAGUUUUAAAUUUACAUAUUUGAGAUCCUAUAUGGGCGUUUCUGUAAGUACCAUGAAGAUUAUGUAUUAUUUAGCAUACCAUUUAUAAAGAAACAACCUAGAACCAGAAUCAAUAAAAUAAGUCUUCAUGGUAAAGAGGGCAUGUUUUCAGACUGACCACAGUGAUUCUGGCACAUGUGAAGUACAGCACUACAUGGGAGUCUAAAUGAAAUUUACUGUAUUUCUUGACUUUUGUUAUUUUAACUAAAAAUAAUUCUUAACUAAUUUUCACCAACCUGACUUUUGUACAAUUUUGAAUAGACCAAAGGACUUCAAGUUUAACAAAGUAAUUAUCAGAAAAAAUAGCCCAAAUGUUGAUUUUAUUUUCCAUAAGUUGCUUUCUCAUACAUGGUUAACUCAUUGAAAAGGGUAUAAUGUGUUAAGCUAAAUAUGCCUUGAGUUUUUCCAUAGAAAUAAACCACACAGAUAAAAUGAUGGUUAUUGUCUUCUAAGAAUUUCUGGCUUUACCUUUUCCAAUUAUGACUUAACUCAUAGUGUACAGUCUGUAGUAGUGACUUGGAAGUUAUUCUGGACCUAGACUAGUGAUCCUUCUUGCCCUGUUUUGUGUGGGUUCUGUGGUGAUUAACUUCCUGAGUUCCCACUCAGGUUUUGAACAUAAAAUGACCACUGUGAUACCUCCUCAGCAUUGCUUCUCAGUUUGACUGCUACUAGUUUGGUUUUUAAGAGAUUCAAAAGGGACCUAAUUCAAAUUAACAGAGAUGCCACCUCUCUUUCAAUUUAGAAUAGGAUUCUUCUUGGAGAUAUUGAUGAUGAAGGCUUUUUUGUUCUUUUCCAAGAGAUACAUAUGGUGGGUUGAGCUCCAUGGACCUAGGGUGAGCAGGCUAUGGAGCUGCAGAUGCUGCUUGUCAUGGCUGCUCCCCCAGGUGCAGCUUGUCCACGUAGGAAACUUGUUUCAGGCUAGCAUUGUCAGAGCUGAGGUAGGAGGAAGGAAGCCCGGGGCAGAAAUAGCCAGUUGUCUCAGGCUGGAACCAUUGUGAGCAGCAGGUACUGUACUUCGUUCCAUAUUCUCCUUUGCAGGGGAAUUCUUUCUUUCCUUUUUUUUUUUUUUUUUUUUUUUUUUAAGUAAAUCAAGAUUGCAUUUGGGAGUGGGAUAUCUAAAUCUAAAGAAAGAUAAGAUUUCAUUUCUUCUUCCCUUUAAGAAAGUAAUUUUGAAAAGCAUGUUUCUAGUUUAUGUUUCUGUUAAACUGUGAGCCUGAAUACAUUAUAGUAAGCCUUGUUGCCCUUGGGUCUCAAGAGUCUGGAGGAGGUUACUGUCCUUACAAGUGAACUCAUUAGACAACUCCUGAACCAGCUGUUUUAAUUAGGUCACACACCAAUCCCGCUGAAGGGUGCCAAGGUGACUGCAACACUGGAGACCAGAGUGGCAGUUGGCUGAUACCAACCUACUGAGCUACUAACCUCUCCUGCUGACCAGUGUUAUGGGGUGUUCCUUUAAUCCCACUUAUGUUGAGGAGAGUAGCCAUUUAAUUGUUUCUUAUAGCUAGAUGUUGCUAGUUCAGAUUGGUGUUAGGGGAAGAGGUUUGACUGUCAGAAAACAGUGGAAAGGUGGGUGGUCCAUUUAUUAACACGUCUUUCUGGCCAUACUAGAGAGAUUGUGUGCUCUCUGCUCUAUGUUAUGAUAGCUAGGUAGGUCAGGGCUCCUUUUCAGUUUAUACAUCUAUGAGGCAAAUUUCAGGAUUUCUAUUAAAGUUACUAUACAUUAAAUUUGUAUUUGUGGGGGAAAACCUAAUCCAUUCCUUUAGCAUAGCAUUUAAAAUAUAAAUAUAAAAAAAUACACACACGCACACACAGCAAGAGAGAGAGAAAUGUAUGAAUUUAAGGACCAUAGUUACUAAAACUGUGUUUUGUUACUAAAAGUAAAAAAAACAAAAUUAAUUUACUGACCCUGUUUAGUAUCUUUUUACAUUUCCAGUCUGUGUAAAUAUGCUAGCUUACUUAGUUCAUAUUGUCUCAGAUUUUUGCAAGAGUUAAUUAUAAAAUAUGUGGGUAGUUAAACAGUGAUUACUUAUUUAAAA